GUUAAACCGAUGUUCCCUCGAUGACUCGAAGAUUGCAUGACUUCUAUUAUAGAUGACGUCACUAAAGUCCGGCUUCGGAAGCGUAGUGCAAGGGCUUAGGGUGCUGUUUGGAACACAAGGUAGUGGAACGGGCAGUCAUUGAGCAGCGCCAUAUUUCCGUUUUGUGUCAAGUAAUAGGUGGAGUGGAGACACUGCGAAAUGGAGGGUAAAGACAGUAAAGAGCCAGAACAGCUGAGGAAGCUGUUUAUUGGUGGUCUAAGCUUCGAGACAACAGAGGAGAGCUUACGUGCUCACUUUGAGCAAUGGGGAAAGCUCACAGAUUGUGUGGUGAUGCGAGAUCCAGGAAACAAGCGGUCACGCGGCUUUGGCUUUGUAACAUACUCCUGUGUAGAUGAGGUGGAUGCAGCCAUGGCCGCUCGACCCCAUAAAGUGGAUGGUCGUGUUGUUGAGCCGAAACGGGCAGUUUCCCGUGAGGACUCAAAUAAACCAGGGGCCCACUUGACCGUGAAAAAGAUCUUUGUUGGUGGGAUUAAGGAAGACACUGAAGAACACCACAUACGUGAAUACUUUCAGGAGUAUGGGAAGAUUGAGAGCAUUGACAUUAUGGAGGAGCGAUCAACAGGGAAAAAGAGAGGGUUCUGCUUCGUAACGUUUGAUGACCAUGACACUGUGGAUAAAAUUGUUGCUCAGAAAUAUCACACCAUAAACUCUCAUAACUGUGAAGUCAGGAAAGCACUACCUAAACAGGAAAUGCAGGCAGUUUCUAACCAAAGGUAUCGUGGUGGUGGUGGUGGUGGUGGAGGUAAUUUCAUGGGCAGAGGAGGUGAUUUUGGAGGUGGCAACUUUGGUAGAGGGGGUUAUGGAGGAAGCCGUGGAGGGUAUGGAGGAGAUGGAUAUGAUGGAUUUGGUGGAGAUGGUGGGAACUAUGGUGGUGGCCCAGGUUAUGGUGGUGGCCGUGGAGGAUUCGGUGGCCCUGGUUAUGGUCACCAAGGGGGAGGAGGUGGUGGUUAUGGAGGAGGAUAUGACAACUACAGUGAUGGACGUAACUUUGGUGGGAACUUUGGUGGUGGAGGAGGUGGAAGUGGAAACUACAAUGACUUUGGAAAUUAUGGGGGUCAGCAGUCCAACUAUGGACCCAUGAAAGGGAAUAACUAUGGAGGAAGGAACUCAGGCGGACCAUAUGGAGGUGGUUAUGGUUCAGGGGGUGGUGGUGGUGGUGGCAGCGGUAGCUAUGGUUCAAGACGAUAUUAAUGUGUAUAUAUUUAUGGCUUCAGGUGGACAGUUAGCAGGAGAUGAGAUGAGUGGAGAGGAGAGGAGAGGUCAGGAAAGAAGCAGGUUACUGUGAGAAAGCCAGGACCUGCUAGUCAGAGCACUAAAAAUGGAGACAUAAAGAAGGACUGUUUCCACUAGCUACAAUGAGCAAGGGUGUAGCCAGACAAAAACUGAACAUAUGGAGCCCGAACCGAGCGCCAAACGUGUUCAGAAACCCCAAAGAUUUCUGGAAAGCUAUCGGGAGAGGUGGCCUUGUCUCACACGGUCGCAGUUACCCAGCCACGCAUUCUGCACGGUGUGCAAGAUUGAUAUAGACAUCAGUCACCAAGGAGCAACAGGUAUGCUAACACCGUCCCACACACGCCCGUUAAAGUACUGCAAUAAGAAGUUUUAGCUAACUGGAAGGCAGUGCGUAACACUUUUACUGUUAUGCACAGCCUUCCUAUAUUUGUAACAGAAACGGUUGUGUUUCACGUGUACUCAAGAGCUUCCUAGCCGUUAUUUUGUGCAUUUACAACACCAACAGUACAGGCUAGUUCUUCAUUUAACUUCGAAGCCGUCACUCGAGGUUGCAUAUUCGAUGCGGUAACCAACGAAACCUGAUUACAAUUCCUCUCAUGCUCUCAUUGAAUCACUAUGAUAAGUACCACUUUAUUGAUGUGCUCAACAAAACGUAGCGUGUUGUAUAUCUUAAGGGCAGUCGGUAACUUCUGUCAAUGGUAGCCUAGGAAUGUUUGCAGAUGAUGUGAAGUCGAAAAUUGGUCAUCCCUCUUAUGAAAACCUGCAUGGUACUGCAGUAUCAAAUGCUUUUUUCUACAGUAUUACUGCAGUAAAUGCAAUAUUUCGAAUGCAAAUGCAAUAGUUUGCACAUGAAAAAGGCAUACUACAAAAUACUGCAGUGUACUGUAUAAUGCAAUAUUUUGGAUGUGGGGGGGGGAGGUCUGCACAGUGCAGGAAAAAAAAAAUGUCAGUUUCCCAUUUAUACACUGUAUUUUUUUCCCAUAAGGGCCUUAUAAAAGCCUGGGUCUGUGAGUCUGUCUAUAAAUUCAGAAAAAUCAUACUAAUAAUAUGCAGUAACACAUUAUAAAUAAUGAAGUUAAGAAUGGACUAUAGACAGUGUAAUAAGCAGUGGUAGUAUUGUGGUAGUAUAGUGGUAGCAUGCGCGCCGGGUUGGGGUGAGGUUGACGUGGGGGGGGGAGGACUCAUGAAAUUGUAAAAUUGUACUCAUAAAAUUUUUUCAAGGUUGGCAGGUAUGAAAUGUUCACCACAUAUGUUCUAUGUUUCAUUUCAUAGUUUUGUUGUCUUCAGCAUUGUUUUACAAUGUAGAAAAUAGUCAACAUUCAGAAAAACCUUUGGAGUAGGUGUGUCCAAACUUUUGUCUGGUACUGUACAUGUUGCAUUUAUACAGUAUGAGCAAAGGUGUAUUGAGAUCUAGCCAAAGGCCACCAAACAGGUUUCAGUUGCCCAGUGUGGAUGUAAGACAGAGCUUCAACUGGACCAGACAGCGAGUUGUCAGAAAAGAGGAGAGAAAAAAAUAACCAGGGAGCAUCAAGAGCCAAGUCUGUGGAGCAAAGCCAUCAGGUGUCACACCAGAAAGCUAGCAUCUGUUUUUUUUCCAAAACUAGCCUAACCUCCAAGAACAGCUGAUGCUAGUGAAGAAAGGCUAGCGAGUACCUGGACCCAAGAGGCGUGACAGCCAAUGCUAGCCAGCAAAGGAAGGGGAGUGAGUAUAAGGGCUUGAGACACAGGUGAAUAAGAGAAGGAAGAAGAAGAAGGAAAUGACAUGUCUUAGGACCAGGUAAGAGUAACCAUUCUGCUUAAUUUACAGAUUGAAACUGAAGCGGCUGCUCAGCAAAUCUUGUAUGACACGUUUUCAGCGAAAGGUCUGGAUGGGUAAGAUUAAUUCCUCAAAAUAUGUGUGGACAGUUUUACAGUAUCCUCCCAUAGCCACAAACACGACCUCAGUUUCUAGACUUUUGGUACUUUAGCUUCAUAACUAAAUCUGAUAAAACUUAAAGAAAGAGACGUGUUUCUUCACUUUUAUUACAGAACAAAUUUUGAAGGUGGACUUUAAUUAAAAGUUACACAAACUAUCAUUGCAAUUGAAGAUUAAAUGCUUUUCAUAGGUUGCAUUUAAGUUUCAGAUUUCAAAUAUUAGAAGUAUUGGUCUUGAGAGUAAUGUCUAUCAUUAUGAUAUUUUUGCAAUAUUGCCUGAAAGCAUUUAUGUUAAAGUAUUUUGCAUGCAUACAUACCAGGGAAUUUAACACUUAUUUCACCAACAAAAGUAAAAGAAGUUGAAAGUUUUAGAAUUACUUACUACAGCGUUAUUAAAUGUUUUCCUGCUUUAGUGUACUUGAGCAAAUUUACCAACUACUUAAUAAUGCAGUAGUGCCCUAGCCUGAGAAAUAAUGACUGUCGAAAAUGAGUAGAAUAAAAGUAUAAAAUUGUACAAUGCAUUUUAAUUUGGCAUUACUAAUAGGAUGGCACAUUAAAAUAAGAAAUUGGUGGCAACCAAAUAGCCACAUUCCCUUCAAGUCGGAAGCACUUUAUUUGACAUUUCUUUACUUGAGUUUACUUCAUAUAAACUCCAUAUCAGGUAUCUCACUAUGGCUGAGAAUAGAAAUACAGGUAGUCGUCGACUUACGACUGUGUUUGGUUAUGACUGACCGGUUGUAAACCAAUCUGGUCAUAAGUCGGCCUAUGUUAAAUGAACGUAAGUAUAUUGUGAUGUGUAAUGAUAUUGUAAUCAUCUUAAAGUCUUAUUUUAUCAACAUUUUCUUAUUUCAUUACCUUGGCUCAUUAUUUGGUUGAAGUCAAACACUGCAUACUACACUGCGUACAGUACAAUUCGUUUAAUAUGUGCAAAACAAAAAAUACGAAAUACAGGUGUGAAAAAUAGAAAACAUUUUAGUUUGAAACAUACCAAAAUACAAAUGUAAAACAUAGCAAAAUACAAAACUUAGUGACCGCUGGGAUCACUGGUGCUUGGCUGUGGGUCGUCUACGUCAUCAUCAGCUGUUGCAGCGCUCGGGCUGGCGGGAGGAUUUGCUCGUUUCAUAAACCAGGAGCUGGGGCGGAAACUGUAUGACGGAGUGCGCGAGGGAGUGCGAGAGAGACUGCGCGUGUGCCUGGAGUUGGGGCGGAAACUGUUGUACGCGGCGAGAGGCGCUGCCUGGAGCUGGGGUGGAAACUGUCAUACACUCAGCUAGCUCAGCUGGGAAACACUUGCCAGUCAUAACCAGACGGUCGUAAAGUCGAUCAGUCAUAAGUUGCAUAGGUCGUAAGUCGACGACUACCUGUACUUGGAUGUAGAAGUUUGACCACUUCUUCCACUUAGAAAACUACACUAUAUGGCCAGAAGUUUGUGGGCACCUGACCAUCACACCCAUAUGUGCUUGCUGAACAUCCCAUAACAGAUUCAGUUCCCCCUUGCUGUAAUAAUACUACUCCUCUGUGGAAGCUUUCCACUAGGUUUUUGGAGCAUGGCUGUGGGGAUUUGUGCUCAUUCAGUAUUAAGAGCAUGAGUGAGGUCAGAGACUGAUGGUGGGUGAGGAGGCCUGGGGCUCGGUCAGUGUUCCAGUUCAUCCUAAAGGUGUUCAGGUUGGGCUUGAGCUCAGGGCUCUGUGCGGGCCACUUGAGUUCUGACACCAGCCUUGGCAAACUAUGUCUGCAUGGAGCUCGCUUUGUGCACAGAAACCUAGUCAUGCUGAAACGGGUUCGAGCCUCUUGGCUCCAGUGAAGGGAAAUUGUAAUUCUGGUGCCCACAAACCUUUGGCCAUAUAGUGUAUGAUACAAAGUGAUGGUAAUCUUUAUCCAGGACGUUCUUAUUGAGUUAGAAAUUGCCAGUGGGAUUUUAUUAAAUAUAUUUGGUUUAUUAUUAUUAAGCAUCUAAAGAUUAGUACAAAUCAGAGUACUGCUGUAAUUAAUGUAUUUCUUUAUUUGGUUAUGGGAGGAUAUAUUUUAUACAGGGAUAAUAUUCACAUUUUAAUUUACGU